rnacentral:rRNA from 1 species
UACGUAGGGGUCUAGCGUUGUCCGGAAUUAUUGGGCGUAAAGAGCUCGUAGGCGGUUCGGCAAGUCGGAUGUGAAAUCUCCACGCUUAACGUGGAGGGGCCAUUCGAAACUGCCGUGACUCGAGUCCGGUAGGGGAGUGCGGAAUUCCCGGUGUAGCGGUGAAAUGCGCAGAUAUCGGGAGGAACACCAAUGGCGAAGGCAGCUCGCUGGGACGUGACUGACGCUGAGACGCGAAAGCGUGGGGAGCAAACAGG